UACAGAGGUCUCAAGCGUUGUUCGGAAUUACUGGGCGUAAAGGGCUCGUAGGCGGCCAACUAAGUCGGAUGUGAAAUCCCCAGGCUUAACCUGGGAACUGCAUCCGAUACUGGAUGGCUUGAAUCCGGGAGAGGGAUGCAGAAUUCCAGGUGUAGCGGUGAAAUGCGUAGAUAUCUGGAGGAAUACCGGUGGCGAAGGCGGCAUCCUGGACCGGCAUUGACGCUGAGUGAGCGAAAGCCAGGGGAGCAAACGGG
rnacentral:rRNA from 1 species